UGCAAGUCGAGCGAUGAAACACCUUCGGGUGUGAAUUAGCGGCGAACGGGUGAGGAACACGUGAAGAAUCUGCCUUCAACUCUGGGAUAACUCCGGGAAACCGGGGCUAAUACCGGAUAUGAGCCUCGAUCGCAUGAUUGGGGCUGGAAAGUUUUUCGGUUGAAGAUGACUUCGCGGCCUAUCAGCUUGUUGGUGAGGUAAUGGCUCACCAAGGCGACGACGGGUAGCCGGCCUGAGAGGGCGACCGGCCACACUGGGACUGAGACACGGCCCAGACUCCUACGGGAGGCAGCAGUGGGGAAUAUUGGGCAAUGGAGGAAACUCUGACCCAGCGACGCCGCGUGAGGGAUGAAGGCCUUCGGGUUGUAAACCUCUUUCAGUAGGGAAGAAGCGAAAGUGACGGUACCUACAGAAGAAGCACCGGCUAACUAUGUGCCAGCAGCCGCGGUAAUACAUAGGGUGCAAGCGUUGUCCGGAAUUAUUGGGCGUAAAGAGCUCGUAGGUGGUUCGAUACGUCGGAUGUGAAAAUCAGGGGCUCAACCCCUGACCUGCAUCCGAUACGGUCGAGCUAGAGUUUAGUAGGGGAGACUGGAAUUCCUGGUGUAGCGGUGGAAUGCGCAGAUAUCAGGAGGAACACCGAUGGCGAAGGCAGGUCUCUGGGCCAAUACUGACACUGAGGAGCGAAAGCGUGGGGAGCGAACAGGAUUAGAUACCCUGGUAGUCCACGCCGUAAACGGUGGACGCUAGUUGUGCGAACCUUCCACGGUUUGUGCGACGCAGCUAACGCAUUAAGCGCCCCGCCUGGGGAGUACGAUCGCAAGAUUAAAACUCAAAGGAAUUGACGGGGCCCCGCACAAGCAGCGGAGCAUGCGGCUUAAUU
rnacentral:rRNA from 1 species